rnacentral:rRNA from 1 species
AAUGGGCGCAAGCCUGAUCCAGCCAUCCCGCGUGAAGGAUGAAGGUCCUCUGGAUUGUAAACUUCUUUUCUUCGGGAAUAAAAACUGGGGUUCUCCUCAGCUUGAAGGUACCGAAGGAAUAAGCACCGGCUAACUCCGUGCCAGCAGCCGCGGUAAUACGGAGGGUGCAAGCGUUAUCCGGAUUCACUGGGUUUAAAGGGUGCGUAGGUGGCUUUGUAAGUCAGUGGUGAAAGCUCGGAGCUCAACUCCGAAACUGCCAUUGAUACUGCUUAGCUUGAAUCAGGUCGAGGUGGAUGGAAUGUGACAUGUAGCGGUGAAAUGCUUAGAUAUGUUACAGAACACCGAUUGCGAAGGCAGUUCACCAGCCCUGUAUUGACACUGAGGCACGAAAGCGUGGGGAUCAAA